AUUCCUACGGGAGGCAGCAGCUUCGAAUCAUUCACAAUGGGCGAAAGCCUGAUGGUGCGACGCCGCGUGAGGGAUGAAGGUCUUCGGAUUGUAAACCUCUGUCACUGGGGAAGAAACGCUUUGAGUUAAUAGUUCAAAGCCUGACUUAACCCGGAGAGGAAGCAGUGGCUAACUCUGUGCCAGCAGCCGCGGUAAUAAU
rnacentral:rRNA from 1 species